UCCAGCCAAUCUGAUCCCAAUUCUUGAAACCCUGCUCUGAUCCUAUGAAGACUUAAAAGUUUUUAAAUUUGUACAUUAUAAUGCAUGUAGCUUGGCCUUCAUUUUGCACGUUUUCAUUCCAUGCUUUAUCUUGUUCCAGAUGGUGGAGUUCAGCAGUAUUGCUGUUCAACCUUUGUUACAGUUGUGUGGUCGUUUGCAACUUAUAACUGCACAGAUUGACAAGGCUGUGGAGACCAGGAGUCAAACAGUAUCAAAUGACAAGCAGUUGGAUGAAAGUGAAGAUGAAGAUGAAGAUGUCGAUGAAUUUGUCUAUAAGGAAGAAGAUGAAGAAUCUCAAAGUGGUAGUGAUGGUGAUAAUUAGAAGUAUUCAUUGUUUGAGUUCAAAAAUUGUGCUGCUCAUGCAAAGUAAAUCCCAUAUAAAGACCAGCUUCAAUCAGUUCACAGUACCCAGUGACAGAUCUUGGCAGUGUAAAUCUGACCUAUCUGAAAUGCGCGCAUCUCUUUCAGGA